UACGGAGGGUGCGAGCGUUGUUCGGAAUCACUGGGCGUAAAGCGCGUGUAGGCGGCCCACUAAGUCUGAUGUGAAAGCCCGGGGCUCACCCCCCGGAAGUGCAUUGGAAACUGGUGGACUCGAGUCCCGGAGAGGAGAGUGGAAUUCCGUGGUGUAGCGGUGAAAUGCGCAGAUAUCAGGAAGAACACCAAUGGCGAAAGCAGCUCUCUGGGACGGU
rnacentral:rRNA from 1 species